UACAGAGGUCUCAAGCGUUGUUCGGAUUCAUUGGGCGUAAAGGGUGCGUAGGCGGCGCGGUAAGUCGGGUGUGAAAUCUCGGGGCUUAACUCCGAAACUGCAUUCGAUACUGCCGUGCUUGAGGACUGGAGAGGAGACUGGAAUUUACGGUGUAGCGGUGAAAUGCGUAGAUAUCGUAAGGAAGACCAGUGGCGAAGGCGGGUCUCUGGACAGUUCCUGACGCUGAGGCGCGAAGGCCAGGGGAGCAAACGGG
rnacentral:rRNA from 1 species